rnacentral:tRNA from 1 species
ACUUUUCUAGUACAAAAAACUAGUACAAAUGAUUUCCAAUCAUUUAACCUUGGUUAGACCCCAAGGAGAAGUA